UACGAAGGGGGCUAGCGUUGCUCGGAAUGACUGGGCGUAAAGGGCGCGUAGGCGGUUCGUACAGUCAGACGUGAAAUUCCCGGGCUCAACCUGGGGGCUGCGUUUGAUACGUACGGGCUUGAGUUCGGAAGAGGGUCGUGGAAUUCCCAGUGUAGAGGUGAAAUUCGUAGAUAUUGGGAAGAACACCGGUGGCGAAGGCGGCUCACUGGCCCGGUACUGACGCUGAGGUGCGAAAGCGUGGGGAGCAAACAGG
rnacentral:rRNA from 1 species